AUGCAACUAUGUGAGUGCAUCAUCCAAAUCUUCAUUUCUGACCAGUGGGUCACUUUCUACAGCAACCCCCUUCUAGACUCCUCCAUUCGAUCUGAUACUUGGUCAACACGGUGCUCUUUGAGUGUGAUCACGCCAAGCCAAAGCUCAGACCCUGACACCUUCUGUGUUUGUAUCCCCGCAGCACAAACACCUUGUUGUUCAUGUCCCUUGGCUUCUCCUGCUAAUCACUGCUUUGCCCCUGGACCGAUUUCGUUUCUCAUUUUGACUAAGGGCAGAAGGGUCUCUCACCCAGACAUGGUUUGGCCGCUCGGAAUGCACCGUGUGUGCCAUCUCACGCGGUGA
rnacentral:rRNA from 1 species